rnacentral:rRNA from 1 species
UACGGGGGAGGCAAGCGUUGUUCGGAUUUACUGGGCGUUAAAGGGCGUGUAGGUGGUAGUGUAAGUCUGGCGUGAAAUUUUUCGGCUUAACCGGGAAAGGUCGUCGGAUACUGCACAACUGAGAGGACGGUAGAGGCGUGUGGAAGUUCCGGGUGUAGUGGUGAAAUGCGUAGAGAAUCCGGAGGAACACCCGUGGCUAAGGCGGCUCUCUAGUACGGUACUGGACGCUGAGACGCGAAAGCGUGGGGAGCAAACAGG